GGAAAGGGAACAAGAGACAGAGACUUAUGCUAGCAUCCUGCUUCCUGAAUGAUACACAGCUUAGAAUACUGUUAUCUAGAAAUGACAGAAAAAGAACAUGGACAAUUGUUUUUCUUUCAGAACUUUGUAACUAUGACAACCUCUACAAGGAGGCGAAAAAUAGUAAAUAUUAUUUUACAGAUGCUGUUGGAAUCUCUUUCCCACAAGAAGUAUGGAUAAUUCCAGACCGUAUGACUUUAAGAAGCAAGUGUGCUGUGAGUAUUGCAAGUUCUUUAUACAAAUUGCUUUGGAACCUCC
rnacentral:lncRNA from 1 species